UGCAAGUCUCUUGAACACUUUCGGGUGUGAAUGGUGGCGGACGGGUGAGUAACGCGUAAAUAACUUGCCCCCUAGUCUGGGACAACUGUUGGAAACGACAGCUAAUACUAGAUAUUAUGAGACCUUGGCAUCAAGGACUUAUGAAAGCUAUAUGCGCUAGGGGAGAGAUUUGCGUCCUAUUAGCUAGUUGGUGAGGUAAUGGCUCACCAAGGCGACGAUAGGUAGCCGGCCUGAGAGGGUGAACGGCCACAAGGGGACUGAGACACGGCCCUUACUCCUACGGGAGGCAGCAGUGGGGAAUAUUGGACAAUGGACCAAAAGUCUGAUCCAGCAAUUCUGUGUGCUUGAUGAAGGCCUUCGGGUUGUAAAGAGCUUUAAGUAGGGAAGAAGAAAGUGACGGUACCUACAGAAUAAGCGACGGCUAUAUACGUGCCAGCAGCCGCGGUAAUACGUAUGUCGCAAGCGUUAUCCGGAAUUAUUGGGCAUAAAGGGCGUCUAGGCGGUUUAGAAAGUCUGAUGUGAAAAUGCGGGGCUCAACCCCGUAUUGCGUUGGAAACUACUAGACUAGAGUAUUGGAGAGGUAAGCGGAACUACAAGUGUAGAGGUGAAAUUCGUAGAUAUUUGUAGGAAUGCCAAUUGGGAAGCCAGCUUACUGGACAAUACUGACGCUGAAGCGCGAAAGCUAGGGGAGCAACAGGAUAGAUACCCUGGUAGUCUAGCUGUAA
rnacentral:rRNA from 1 species